GCGGACGUGGCGGAACUGGUAGACGCAAGGGACUUAAAAUCCCUCGGGCUUGCCCGUCCGGGUUCGAUCCCCGGCGUCCGCA
rnacentral:tRNA from 1 species